ensembl:lncRNA
CCGCGCGUCCCCGGCCCCGUCGGUGAGCGGCUGCCCGUCCCUCCCCCCUUCGGGCCGGCGGGGAAGUUGCAACUGGUUGAGCAGCUCCGAAUGUGCGUGCUUAGGCUUUGGAUACUUGAUUUUUUCUUUCUUUUUUUUUUUUUUCCUUUUCUUCUAUUUAUUUUUUAUUUAUUAAUUUUUACUUACCGCAGCCUAAAAAAGCAUGCCUUGGGGCUUCUCCUCCCUACCACAGCCGGGCCGCCCCAGCACAAGCGCAGCCAAUCCCGGCGGGUUGCGAGACGGAGGGAGGAGGAGGAGGGCGAGGGGCAGCCACGCGGGGCCGCGGGCGCGGCAGGUGGGGGAUGGCCCGGGGGGCGGAGGACAGCCGACACCGCCCAGAAGCCGCGCAGCUCCGGCCCCGAGCCGGAGCGUGGCUCGAGCAUCGCUGUAAGAGCCCGCGGCCGCCCCCUCCCGAGCUCUUAGCCGUCCCCUAAAGUUUAUUUUUAGCCCCCGGAAAGCGCUAUAAAGGUCCCGCGGAGCGAGCGGGCCGGGAGACGUGGCACCGCGCUGCCUGCAGCCACUUCUCUGAACUGUUACCUUCAAAAUGAAGAGCAAGACAGAGGUGAGAACAAAGAAAGCCUUGGAAAAAUCCGGUCAUAACAUCUGAGGAAUAGAAAUAAAGGAAAUACUUAUACAGUCAGAGUUUGGAUGGAAUUUAUGAAAAGUUACAAAGGGCCCUAUUACAUUUGUAUCUAGAUUUGGGAAUUUUAAUUUUACACAUAAUAAAGAUACCAGUGCAUCUUUUCCUCUACUUUGGAUGAUAAUGCAUUCUGCUGUCCUUAGCCUUGCAAAACUUUCUUAUACCAACUAAUGUACGUUCAGCUUAAUUCUUUAGUUGUUAGACCUAAGACACCUUCUCACAUCAAGCUAGAGCAUGAAUAAUAAUAAACCAUUAAAAACCAUCCUCUCUGUUUGCUGGUCUAUAAAUAUAAAUAUUAGAUCCCUGAAUUUCUAUGUCCCCAGCAGAACAAGUGGGAUUUGAAUAAAAGGUAUAUGUAUAUGCGACCUUAUCACUGCCAAAUGCCAAAAGUACAUAAUAUAGAGCUUAUCUGGACUUCAGGCCUUCGGUGCUGUGUAGGUAGAGGUGAUUCUUGGCAUAACUCCUACCUUUGUAGAAUUAAAACAUCAUAAUUUUUAGAAGAGUUUUUAACCAAUUGUGUAGACAUCAUAAUUGGGCAGUAUUUCUGUGACACUGAUGUAGCACUAAGAGCCCUAAAUCAAAUUUUGUCCAUGAAAACAUACAAAACAGUCAGUGAGCACCAGGCAAUGGGGAGUACUAUGUGAAAAAGGACAGCAGCAAUGAAGUCUAAUCCCAGUGAUAUAUUCCUCUGUUGCCUACACACUCUGUUCUGUUGCCUGCUGAGAAAAACCAAUCUAGAUUGUGUUAUUUACAACUGAUCUUUUUAGGCUAGAACUGUUAAAACAGAAUGCCAAACAACUUGAAAGUUUCUGUAGAAAUACUGUUAGGCAGACAAAAGAGAAAAUAAAUUAAAGCUAAUGAUUAUUUAUCACUGAGAAACACACACACAAAAAAAAAGCCUUCUGAGUUUACUUUGCUGGUUUCAAGUACUAAAACGUCCACCUCAAAGUCUGUUCUUCUGUCUCAUUAGUCUUAAUUCAUGGCAGUGCAGAGCAAUAGAAGCGUAAGGAGGUGCUCAUUUCAUACUAGAUUUGAAAGGAAGCCCAACAAGCAGCUGUACAAAGUUGGUUUUUUUUUUGUUUGUUUGUUUGUUUGCUUUUUUGUUUUUUUGCAUCCUGGCACUUCUGGAUUUAGCAGCUGCUCUGCCUGUCUGCACUCGGGGUCAAACAUUUAAGAGUCAACUAAAUGUGAGGGAGGUUUCCCUACCAAGUGUCAUUCACAAGAGCAGAUGCUGCAGGCUGUGAAUUAGGGACAGGGAUAGUCUCACAUCAUCUACUGACUGCUAUUAAUAACCCUGUUUACAUCUGAUCCAUGCCCCAAAUCCUUCCCAUAUGGUACUCAAGUACCAAUUUCUUAUGUUUUCCAAAGGUCACCUAUCAUCAGCACCAAGAACAGACCACAGGUCCCCUGACACAGCACUACCACUGUGCAGAAUCUGUGUUGAGCUAAACUCUCUGCAGACAUGCCUUUAGCUUUUAUGCUGUGCUGUCGCAAAGCAGUGCUCAGAACAAAGGAAGCCCAUUUCCUAAGCAGUUGAAAACUUUGCUAGCAAAGUACAGUGCACUUGUUCAUUGCAGGCAGUCCAUUUAAAAAUGUACAGCUAUCUUCUAUGUUGUUCUUCCAUUUAAAUCUGCAUAAAUCAGCCUGCAUCGUAGCUUUGUCAGCUGGCUGAUAUUCAACAAUGAGAGGAAGUAGAAAGCGGCAGAAUUAAUAUCCACUGGCUGAAUGUAGUUCCAGUACCACCUAACACUAGAGUGUUUGACUAAUUGAUUGCCCUUAGCAUUCUGCUAACAACAGAUGUACGGUAUGAGUUAAAUUAGUAAAUUUGUAUUGCUCCUAUUGCUUUCCAUAGCCUGAAACAGUUGUAAUUAUUGAAAUUAUUUAAAUCAGAAACAUUGUAUUCAAAACGCUUUAAUUGAUUUUCUUUGUAUUUUUGUUAAUAAAAACUGCUCUAAUAAAAGUACCGCGGGGUAAUGAUUUGUAGAUUCGGCUGCACACUUGAAAACACGAAGGGGAUUGUGCUGAAGAGCAGAACACCUAUCAGAGCCAGCUCCAAGAACUCAGAAUCUGAUUCUCCACAAUCAGAGUUUCAGAAAAUAAGCCUCCUUCCAAAAGGAGUAUGUUCAGACAUACUGGCAAAGAGCAAAAGCUAUUGUUUCUUUGUAGCUACACCAGCUCCACUGAGAUUGCAAUUUUGUUUUGGUCUUUUUUUUCUACAUAAUGAAACUCGCAGUUCAUAAAAGAUCAGGUUAAGGUAAGGAAACUGAAAUUAGUGUUAACUGUGUUUCUAUCAUCAUGCUUUACAUAAUACCAGAAGAUAUCAAAAGGAGAUCAAAACUAUAAUGUCUACGCAUCCUGAAGUACCUCUUAUCUGUAAAGGACAUCCUCAUUCAGAGCAAACGGCAGGUCUGGCUCUACAGCUUAUUCUCUGCUGUGGGACCACACCAGCAGUGGCCAGAGGUCUAUUCAAGGACUGUGCCGGUCUGAGCAGCAGAAAGAUCCAGAGGGCACAAGAACUGAGUGCCGCAUUGUUCUGCUGAGUCUAAGCUGUCUCUCCAAAAGUCAUCAACUGAAGAUCUGGGGCAAUUGCUUAAAGAAAAAAACGUCCACAUAUAUCC